UUGUUGGGAGUCCUGGUAGAAGUUUGGCAGCCUGUCAGAGACACCUGCACCCACGUGUAAGAAUGGGUACAUUCAACAGAACUGCCAAGAAUCAUGAAAAUUAGAAGUAAUCAAAUGCCCCUCAAGAUUUUUUCCCCUGCAGGAACAGAGGAAACAACUGCAGAAGAAUGAACACAUCUGUCAAGGCACCAUGAAGGAAGAGACACACUUUUCUGGGCUGGAUGAUCAUCAAUAUCUCCAGCUUUCUGGAUAUCAACAGGAACCCAGGCAUUUUGGUUAUGAUGAAAAGUGUGAGUGUAUUUGUCUCAGGACUGUAGUGCCAACAU